rnacentral:rRNA from 1 species
ACGAACGCUGGCGGCGUGCUUAACACAUGCAAGUCGCACGGAAAGGCCCUGCUUUUGUGGGGUGCUCGAGUGGCGAACGGGUGAGUAACACGUGAGUAACCUGCCCUCGACUUUGGGAUAACUUCAGGAAACUGGGGCUAAUACCGGAUAGGAGCUCCUGCUGCAUGGUGGGGGUUGGAAAGUUUCGGCGGUUGGGGAUGGACUCGCGGCUUAUCAGCUUGUUGGUGGGGUAGUGGCUUACCAAGGCUUUGACGGGUAGCCGGCCUGAGAGGGUGACCGGCCACAUUGGGACUGAGAUACGGCCCAGACUCCUACGGGAGGCAGCAGUGGGGAAUAUUGCACAAUGGGCGGAAGCCUGAUGCAGCAACGCCGCGUGCGGGAUGACGGCCUUCGGGUUGUAAACCGCUUUCGCCUGUGACGAAGCGUGAGUGACGGUAAUGGGUAAAGAAGCACCGGCUAACUACGUG